rnacentral:tRNA from 1 species
GGGGGUACAGCUCAAGUGGUAGAGCGCGUGGUUAGCAUACACAAGGUCCUGGGUUCAAUCCCCGGUACCUCCU